rnacentral:rRNA from 1 species
GAUCAUGGCUCAGGAUGAACGCUAGCUACAGGCUUAACACAUGCAAGUCGAGGGGCAUCAGGAAGAAAGCUUGCUUUCUUUGCUGGCGACCGGCGCACGGGUGAGUAACACGUAUCCAACCUACCCUUUACUCGGGGAUAGCCUUUCGAAAGAAGGAUUAAUACCCGAUGGCAUAAUGAUUCCGCAUGGUUUCAUUAUUAAAGGGUUCCGGUAAAGGAUGGGGAUGCGUUACAUUAGGUUGUUGGUGAGGUAACGG